rnacentral:lncRNA from 1 species
GGAUGCCUUCUUAAUCACAGCCUGUGUGGGUAAAGGGAAAGCCUUGCCUGGCCAACCCCUCCCACUCCCACCCCCACCUCCUGCAUUGAUUCACAAACCUGGACUGCUCUGGAGGAGGCUGGGAAAGUCCAUCCCCAGGGAAUACCACUUUUUUCCUCUUCUGUGCCUCUCACAGGACACCCACAUGACUAGGAGGAGGCAGAAAGUGAAUAGGGAGCUCUUAUUACUUUUUGAGUGUCAGCAAGUUAAGACAUCAUCUCCAGAAAACUGUGCUAGUUGGCAUCCAGCAGUGCCCAAGUAUUAUUUAACCCACUAGAACCUGUGACUGCAUCAGCUUUAUAUCCUGGACCUCAGCCUGGAACAAAGGAGAGCUACACUUGGAUACUAAACACAAGUGGUCUGGAUAGAUUAUGCUGGGAAAAGAAGCCUGGAGCAGGCAGUACAGUGGGAGAACAAGACAGAAGUGCUUGCCUUGGUGAUCCAAAAAAGGCAGGAUCCGGCCGGGGGCAAGGUGAUUAUUCUGUCUGAUGAGGAGAAUAAGAGCCAGUUUGUGGUAUUGACAGAAGAAUGAAAGUAAAGUUCAACCAAUCUACAAAGGCCAAAAAUAUUUUCACAGGCCCCCAAAAGAUGAACUCCAAUCUGCUGCCCCUAAACGCAUUCUCCACUGUCUGGAAGAUGUGCAAAGGCAACGGCACAGCGUUCUCCAUCUCAAAUCCUUCAAAGUGCUGUCAGAAUAAAAGAAUCCCCACCAAAAGCCCCAGGGAAAUCUAUCUGUCUGUAUGGUAUGGUAAUGACUGAGGUUAUUCCAGAUAGGAUUCUGGGAGAAACUCAGCUAUUGAAAUCUAAUGAAUGGAACUGAGAAUUUCUUGUUAUAAUACUGUUUGUUUGAUUGAAUAUAUCCUUGCAUAUAGGAAGACAUAAAAAUAAAUAAUAAAAGCAAGAUAUUAUUUGAA